CGCCAGACUCCUACGGGAGGCAGCAGUGGGGAAUAUUGCACAAUGGGGGAAACCCUGAUGCAGCGACGCCGCGUGAGUGAAGAAGUAUCUCGGUACGUAAAGCUCUAUCAGCAGGGAAGAAAAAAAGUCUUUGGCUUUGGACGGUACCUGACUAAGAAGCCCCGGCUAACUACGUGCCAGCAGCCGCGGUAAUACGUAGGGGGCAAGCGUUAUCCGGAUUUACUGGGUGUAAAGGGAGCGUAGACGGCAAUGCAAGUCUGGAGUGAAAGCCCAAGGCCCAACCAUGGGACUGCUCUGGAAACUGUGUAGCUUGAGUGCAGGAGGGGUAAGCGGAAUUCCUAGUGUAGCGGUGAAAUGCGUAGAUAUUAGGAGGAACACCGGUGGCGAAGGCGGCUUACUGGACUGCAACUGACGUUGAGGCUCGAAGGCGUGGGGAGCAAACAGGAUUAGAUACCCGUGUA
rnacentral:rRNA from 1 species